rnacentral:rRNA from 1 species
UACGAAGGGGGCUAGCGUUGCUCGGAAUCACUGGGCGUAAAGGGUGCGUAGGCGGGUCUUUAAGUCAGGGGUGAAAUCCUGGAGCUCAACUCCAGAACUGCCUUUGAUACUGAGGAUCUUGAGUUCGGGAGAGGUGAGUGGAACUGCGAGUGUAGAGGUGAAAUUCGUAGAUAUUGGGAAGAACACCGGUGGCGAAGGCGGCUCACUGGCUCGUAUCUGACGCUCAGGCGCGACAGCGUGGGGAUCAAACAGG